rnacentral:lncRNA from 1 species
AGGUAUUUGAGGUUCUUGGUCUUCUUAUAUGGCUUGGGCAAUCAUCACCUUAUAAGCUAACUUUUGGGGUUGAAUUAGGCCCAAGGUCCAUUCUUUUCAUCUCCCAAAACUCUCUACAGAGAGCUUCCACAACAAAUAGAGAAAGAGGUGGACUGCGACACUUUAAAAUUUAUUGCAUCAUGACUUACAAUCUUUUGGUUGUGAAUGCCAUAUUUGCUUUUGACGGAGUUUAGCUGGAGCUCCUUGAAUAUGGCUGAGAUUGCAUUCUAGCUAAAAGUGUACGUCCCGUGAGUUUACUUUUGCGCUCUUUUCUCUUCUUUGAUUUUCUCACCUUCCGUUAUUUUUAAAUUAUUAUCUCAUCACAGGUCGAUUAAACUGUAUAAUUGGGGUAAAAUAGUUGGUCAAUGGUUUCUCUCUGUUGUAUAUACUUCACAAUCGCUAGAAUUAAAUUUUCUGAGAUGACUUUACCUGGGGUUUCGGCUGGUUUCUGAAUUUAGUUAACUUUUCCUUUUUCCUACUGUGGUUGUGAUAACGAAAAUUGAAUUUAUUAUUUGCACAUACCUAGAUUUUCUGCUUUAGAGUUCCUUUUCCCGUGGCAAGUUCUGUUGGAUUAGUAUUUUUUCAACUGGGUAAAGAAGUUGGUCUAUUCGGGUACGGCGUGGAAUUGACCUUGGCUAACAGAAAAUUCGGAGGAAUCCAACACUAAAGGGACAUAUAGAACUCUUAAAAGAGUGUGCGGAGGUGGACACUUAUUUUUUAUUUUGCUGUGCAAAAUUAAAGGAACAAGUAGUAAUUAGUUUUUAUUUUCACUCAGUCUCCUCUAAGUACUUUCCUGCAAAGCUAGCAACGACUAAUUUAUUUUGAUUUGUGCUGCUUUGUUCAUUUGAGUUUUAUACAUUAUUUGUAAUAACGACCCGAUCGGUCCUUUUACUGUUUAGAACUUCGUUUUCUUAAAUAAAAUUUCCCGCGCUUUCCUUAGCUUAAUCAUGACUUGCGGGGGCGAUUAGUUUUAGAAGAGUUUUGAGUGAAAAUGAAACCAGUUAUUUUCUAAAGGAUUUCUUAAAAUGCCAAGUUUGACUUCGGUCAACUUUCUUCGAAAACGACCCCGGAUUCAUGAUUUGAUGGUCCCGGGAGAUUCGUGAGAAGAUAUGGGACCUGAGCGUAUGCUCGGAAUUGAAUUCCGAGGUCCCUAGCUCGAGUAAUGAAUUUUUAUGUAAAAUUGUCAAAUCGAAGUUUUAAUGAAUUGGAGAAUCUAAGUAUUCAUCAAAAUCAUAGGUAUCGUGUUUGGAUUUCAGUUCCGAAACUUGGCACAAGUCCGAAAUAUCAGUUAAGACCUACCCGUAAAAUUUGGUGUCAAUCCGAGUAGAUUAAGCGCAUUUCGACCCAUUGAAAGGAAAUUAAGAACUUGAAGUUCAAUGAAUUGAUUCAAUUAGUUUUGGGGUUUGAUUCCUUGAUUUAGCGUUGUUUUGGGUGUUUCGAGGGUUCGACUAGGUCCGCCUCGUGAUUUCAGAAUUGUCGGUAUGUACGGGCGGGGGUCGGGAGCCCCGAACGUCAAAUGGGAUUCAAUUAGUUUUGGGGUUUGAUUCCUUGAUUUAGCGUUGUUUUGGGUGUUUCGAGGGUUCGACUAGGUCCGCCUCGUGAUUUCAGAAUUGUCGGUAUGUACGGGCGGGGUUCGGGAGCCCCGAACGUCAAAUGGUCGAGGUUCGAGCGAAGUUGGAAUUUGAAAAGGAACCAACUUCUGCUGCUUCUGUUAAAACCAAUUCUGCGGCUCCUGGACCGCAGAAGCGAUCCUUUUAUCGCAGAAGCGGCCAGGACGGCCCAGGGAAAAACCGCAAUAGCGGUCCAGAAGCCGCAGAAGCGAUCGAUCCCUCUUUACCCAAAACCGCAUAUGCGGUCCAUUUUUGGCAGGUGCUGGACCGCAGAAGCAGUCCCAAAACCGCAGAAGCGGAAAUCAUUGGGGCAGUGAGCAAAUUUAAUACAGGCUCAAGUGCAUUUAUCUCCCAUUUUCUUCAUACUUGGGCGAUUUUGAAGCUUCCAAUUAGGGAAUUUCAACAUAGCAUUUGAGGUAAGUAAUUUCCAGUCACCCUUAGUGUAAAUACAUGUAUAAUGGGUAGAUUAAACACUAGAAAUGUAUUAAAAUCAAAGGAUUAGAGCUAGACCUAGGGUUUUAAAUAAAAUUAAGAUUUAACCAUAUAAUUAGCUAUGUAAUGAACUAAAAAUCACAUAUUAAUAAAUCCUUUAGGCUAUGGAGAAUAAUUUCCUUCGAAAAAUCUCGGAAUCCGGGCACGUGGGCCAGGGAUCGGAAUUUAGGAAACUUGCGGGAAAGGUUGGAGAUUCACUUAACUAGUUAGAAUUCAACCUUGUGAGCACUUAUUGACUAGUCCUUGCCUUAUUUAAACUAGUUGGUGUUUGUUCGGCUUCGAAUUGAGCUUGGAGCCUAAUCUUGUGAUUGAAAGAGCGCUUCGGAGUGAGGUGAGUCUCUUUUCUAACCUUGUAAGAGGGAAUUGUCCCCAUAGGACUAAACAAUUGAAUAAAAUUUGCUUUGUAUGCGGGGGGCUAUGUACAUACUAGGUGAAGAGAGUCCGUGCGUAGCACUUAUAUGCUAAGUCCGGGUAGUUUAGGGCCAUGAGCAUGCUUAUUAUGAUAUCUUUGAAAUUGAUGCCACUCUUGGGCCUUGUAUGGAUAAAUUGUGAACUUAUUGACGUGAGAAUUUCUAAAAGGAUUGCAUAUUACUUUUCCUAAAGCGUUAAAUGAGAAUCUGCCUUAUUGGGUUAGAUGUUUCCCGGAAAUUAUUAAUUGAUUAUCUGAGCAUGUAUCUCGAUAUGUACCUGCGUCGUAUGAUUGGUUCGCGAGUGGGGGUAUUUGUUUACUUUAUGUUGACCGCAUCGCAAGGAUGAUUUGCGAGCGGAGGUAAUAGAUGCAUCUAUGAUUCGAGCCGUUCGACCCUCGGCAGUGCACAUUUAUUUUUCUGUUGGAUUGGGCCGUACGCUCCUUGGUGGAUAUUUGCGCAUGAUUUAGUUUUCUACUUGUGGAUUAUACUCCGAAUUUGUUGUUUAAAUAUAUAUGACUGAGCACCCUUCAUGGAAAGGUAAAAGGAAGAACUUCUAUUUCAUACUUCGUAUUUGAUGACUUAAGAUACAACUGCUUAUUGUGAAUCAAAACUCAUAUAUUAUUUGACCUUAGUAAGUAUCAAGUCGACCUCUCGUCUCUACUUCUUCGAGAUUAGACGGGAUACAUAUUGGGUACAUGUUGUUUAUAUACUCAUGCUACGCUUCUGUACUUAAUGUACAGGAUCUGAAGCAGGUGGAUGUGGUUACCAUUCGGGCGCGCAUUAGUGAGCAUUUGGACUUCUACGGUGAGCUGCCUCCUUUCAUUGACGAUCUGCAGCCGAAGAAGUCAUCUCUGUAUUUUCAUUUUUGUCUAUUCUGAUUCAGACAAUAGGAUAGAAUAUUAUUCUUUUGUAUAUUCUAUACUAGUUGCCCGUAGCCGUGACACCAAGUUCUGACACACACUUUAGUAGACUAGUUUUAGAAUUUGUAAUUAUUAUGUUAUUUACUUUUAUUACUACAUUGGGUUCCUG